rnacentral:rRNA from 1 species
GACGAACGCUGGCGGCGUGCUUAACACAUGCAAGUCGAACGGAAAGGCCUCUUUCGGGGGGUACUCGAGUGGCGAACGGGUGAGUAACACGUGAGUAACCUGCCCUUGACUUUGGGAUAACUUCAGGAAACUGGGGCUAAUACCGGAUAGGAGCUCCUGCUGCAUGGUGGGGGUUGGAAAGUUUCGGCGGUUGGGGAUGGACUCGCGGCUUAUCAGCUUGUUGGUGGGGUAGUGGCUUACCAAGGCUUUGACGGGUAGCCGGCCUGAGAGGGUGACCGGCCACAGUGGGACUGAGAGAAGGCCCAGACUCCGACGGGAGGCAACAGGGGGGAAUAUUGCACAAUGGGUGGAAGCCUGAUGCAGCAACGCCGGGGGCGGGAUGACGGCCUUCGGGUUGUAAACCGUCUUCGCUCAUGACGAAGCUUUGUGUGACGGUAGUGGGUAAAGAAGCACCGGCUAACUACGUG